rnacentral:lncRNA from 1 species
GUGUUCUUGGCAGUUUUUCUAAUGGUACAUAUGACUGCAGAAUUAAUAGUCUGUCCAAUUCGUGAUAUGUUCGAAUGCGCCAACAAGCUUACAACCAUGUUUUAAUCCAAUUCUGUCAAUGCUUCCUUUUAAGAUUACAUUCUUGCUCCUCUCUAAGCAAGUUCCUUCCUUGUGCUCUUCCUUGUCUUUCUCUCAAUUGAUUUAUUUUCCUCGAUGCAAUGCUCUCCUUCUUAUUAACCAUAAUCUUGCUUCAAACACUACUGAAAUUGUCUUCCAUUACCAAUUUUCUCACAUGUUUGGUAAUUAAUUCCUAACACUCAAAGCUAUUAUUACUCCCCAGCAGUGGCGUCAAAAUAUGGUUGCUUUUUUUACUUAUUCCAAAUUAAUCUAAUGGGAAUAAAUCCGUAUAGGAAAGAUUCGAACACGAGGAAUGAGUAGUAGCUUAAGCGUUCACGUUAGGAUCAUACAAUCAAUUACCUCUUGAAUAUAUCGUCUCUAUUUUUAAUAUCUGAACACACAAAGAAACUAUAAUCUCCUCCUUCACCUUAUCGGUCUCUUCCUUACAAUAAUUUAGUCACAUCAAUAACUGCUAUUUCUACUAAUAUAUUCACCCUCAUAAUCUCCAACUGUAAUAUUGUGCCCUCACAGCUUUUAGCACACAAUUAUCCUCAUUCCAAUCACUGGAAUUCUUCACAUAGAACUGCCAUUCAUAUUACAAUGUUUCACACAAACAUAGACUCAUUCUCUCUGCUGAAUUACAAUCAAAUUUUAGCAUUCAAUCUUUCUUCUUCUCAAAUAAUACCAAUCACAUUUCCAUUCUAUAAUUCACUUCAUAAUAUUCAAAAACUCUCAAUCCUCUUAUUCCAAGAAAAUAACAAACAAAAGAAAAGAGGUAGCAUCUAGCUUAUCCCAGCUCACAACUAUCACAGCGAUGGCACCUUAAUUAACUUCUAUAACUCCUAUAUACUUUCCCCUGAUUCUCCAAAUUCUAACCGUAAUUCUCAAAUUAACUGCUUUUAAGAACUAAAUCACUCAUCCGUCCUCCUGAAUUUCCUAUUAUAUAGACUAUUAAUAUAUUUUACCAAUAUCUUUCAAAAACGAAUUAAUAUCUAUUCUACAUAUGGAUUUUAUAAUCUUCUUCAACCAUUACCUAUUCUAAAACAACCAUGAU